CCUACGGGGUGCAGCAGUAGGGAAUCUUCGGCAAUGGACGAAAGUCUGACCGAGCAACGCCGCGUGAGUGAAGAAGGUUUUCGGAUCGUAAAACUCUGUUGCUAGAGAAGAACAAGGACGUUAGUAACUGAACGUCCCCUGACGGUAUCUAACCAGAAAGCCACGGCUAGCUACGUGCCAGCAGCCGCGGUAAUACGUAGGUGGCAAGCGUUGUCCGGAUUUAUUGGGCGUAAAGCGAGCGCAGGCGGUUUCUUAAGUCUGAUGUGAAAGCCCCGGCUCAACCGGGGAGGGUCAUUGGAAACUGGGAGACUUGAGUGCAGAAGAGGAGAGUGGAAUUCCAUGUGUAGCGGUGAAAUGCGUAGAUAUAUGGAGGAACACCAGUGGCGAAGGCGGCCCUCUGGUCUGUAACUGACGCUGAGGCUCGAAAGCGUGGGGAGCAAACAGGAUUAGAUACCCGCGUAGUC
rnacentral:rRNA from 1 species